rnacentral:rRNA from 1 species
CCUACGGGGGGCAGCAGUGGGGGAUAUUGCACAAUGGGGGAAACCCUGAUGCAGCGACGCCGCGUGGGUGAAGAAGCGCCUCGGCGCGUACAGCCCUGUCAGCAGGGAAGAAAAUGACGGUACCUGAAGAAGAAGCCCCGGCUAAUUACGUGCCAGCAGCCGCGGUAAUACGUAGGGGGCAAGCGUUAUCCGGAUUUACUGGGUGUAAAGGGGGCGCAGACGGCGAUGCAAGCCAGGAGUGAAAGCCCGGGGCCCAACCCCGGGACUGCUCUUGGAACUGCGUGGCUAGAGUGCAGGAGGGGCAGGCGGAAGUCCUGGUGUAGCGGUGAAAUGCGUAGAUAUCAGGAGGAACACCGGUGGCGAAGGCGGCCUGCUGGACUGCAACUGACGUUGAGGCCCGAAAGCGUGGGGAGCAAACAGGAUUAGAUACCCGGGUAGUC